AUCCAGCUGACGAGUUCCAAAUAGGACGAAACGCGCGUCAAACUAGAU
rnacentral:hammerhead_ribozyme from 1 species